AUUGAACGCUGGCGGCAGGCCUAACACAUGCAAGUCGAACGGUAACAGGAAGAAGCUUGCUUCUUUGCUGACGAGUGGCGGACGGGUGAGUAAUGUCUGGGAAACUGCCUGAUGGAGGGGGAUAACUACUGGAAACGGUAGCUAAUACCGCAUAACGUCGCAAGACCAAAGAGGGGGACCUUCGGGCCUCUUGCCAUCGGAUGUGCCCAGAUGGGAUUAGCUAGUAGGUGGGGUAACGGCUCACCUAGGCGACGAUCCCUAGCUGGUCUGAGAGGAUGACCAGCCACACUGGAACUGAGACACGGUCCAGACUCCUACGGGAGGCAGCAGUGGGGAAUAUUGCACAAUGGGCGCAAGCCUGAUGCAGCCAUGCCGCGUGUAUGAAGAAGGCCUUCGGGUUGUAAAGUACUUUCAGCGGGGAGGAAGGGAGCAAAGUUAAUACCUUUGCUCAUUGACGUUACCCGCAGAAGAAGCACCGGCUAACUCCGUG
rnacentral:rRNA from 1 species